GAAUUCGCCCUUAGAGUUUGAUCCUGGCUCAGGACGAACGCUGGCGGCGCGCCUAACACAUGCAAGUCGAACGAGCGAGAGAGAGCUUGCUUUCUCGAGCGAGUGGCGAACGGGUGAGUAACGCGUGAGGAACCUGCCUCAAAGAGGGGGACAACAGUUGGAAACGACUGCUAAUACCGCAUAAGCCCACGGCUCGGCAUCGAGCAGAGGGAAAAGGAGCAAUCCGCUUUGAGAUGGCCUCGCGUCCGAUUAGCUAGUUGGUGAGGUAACGGCCCACCAAGGCAACGAUCGGUAGCCGGACUGAGAGGUUGAACGGCCACAUUGGGACUGAGACACGGCCCAGACUCCUACGGGAGGCAGCAGUGGGGAAUAUUGCACAAUGGGGGAAACCCUGAUGCAGCGACGCCGCGUGGAGGAAGAAGGUCUUCGGAUUGUAAACUCCUGUUGUUGGGGAAGAUAAUGACGGUACCCAACAAGGAAGUGACGGCUAACUACGUGCCAGCAGCCGCGGUAAAACGUAGGUCACAAGCGUUGUCCGGAAUUACUGGGUGUAAAGGGAGCGCAGGCGGGAAGACAAGUUGGAAGCGAAAUCUAUGGGCUCAACCCAUAAACUGCUUUCAAAACUGUUUUUCUUGAGUAGUGCAGAGGUAGGCGGAAUUCCCGGUGUAGCGGUGGAAUGCGUAGAUAUCGGGAGGAACACCAGUGGCGAAGGCGGCCUACUGGGCACCAACUGACGCUGAGGCUCGAAAGUGUGGGUAGCAAACAGGAUUAGAUACACUGGUAGUCCACACCGUAAACGAUGAUUACUAGGUGUUGGAGGAUUGACCCCUUCAGUGCCGCAGUUAACACAAUAAGUAAUCCACCUGGGGAGUACGACCGCAAGGUUGAAACUCAAAGGAAUUGACGGGGGCCCGCACAAGCAGUGGAGUAUGUGGUUUAAUUCGACGCAACGCGAAGAACCUUACCAAGUCUUGACAUCCUGCGACGAUGCUAGAAAUAGUAUUUUCCUUCGGGACGCAGAGACAGGUGGUGCAUGGUUGUCGUCAGCUCGUGUCGUGAGAUGUUGGGUUAAGUCCCGCAACGAGCGCAACCCUUAUGGUCAGUUACUACGCAAGAGGACUCUGGCCAGACUGCCGUUGACAAAACGGAGGAAGGUGGGGAUGACGUCAAAUCAUCAUGCCCUUUAUGACUUGGGCUACACACGUACUACAAUGGCGUUAAACAAAGAGAAGCAAGACCGCGAGGUGGAGCAAAACUCAGAAACAACGUCCCAGUUCGGACUGCAGGCUGCAACUCGCCUGCACGAAGUCGGAAUUGCUAGUAAUCGUGGAUCAGCAUGCCACGGUGAAUACGUUCCCGGGCCUUGCACUCACCGCCCGUCA
rnacentral:rRNA from 1 species